AUAUGAGACCGGUGCCAUCAGCCACCGAAGUUUAAAGUGGGUGAGGGAAGAAAAGACGGUAAGAAAGAAAAGUGACGAUUUCUUUAUCUUUCACUUGAAUCACAACUGGAGGCAAUUUAUUCCUUUCUCCCUCCCACUGGAAAGGAAUGCAGGCAUGAGAAGGCAAGAACAGAGAACAGCAUGGAAAUAAUGCACUCCUGUGGGCCCACUGCUUUUUUUUCAAUUGAAGGAAUGAACACGCACGUUAUCGAAGUCUUCAUCUUUGAUUUUAUAUUUAAAAAAUCCCCAAUUAUUUCAGCUCGGUUAAACUCCUGGAAGUUCCUAUACAUUGGAUUACCAUCAACGCAAGACAGUUCACAUACAAGGUCCACCACCACCAACUAGGGAUGGCCAACAUCAGCAGAUAGCCUUAUGCCACAGCCUAAGAAUAAACACAAGAUGCAUAGUAGUUUUAUGUAUAUUAAAUAAGAUGAUGAUUGUGGAUGGAACUUA